UACGAGGGGGGCAAGCGUUGUUCGGAAUUAUUGGGCGUAAAGAGCGUGUAGGCGGCCAUGCAGGUCCGUUGUGAAAACUCGAGGCUCAACCUCGAGACGCCGAUGGAAACCGCAUGGCUAGAGUCCGGAAGAGGAGAGUGGAAUUCCUGGUGUAGCGGUGAAAUGCGCAGAUAUCAGGAAGAACACCCGUGGCUAAGGCGGCUCUCUAGUACGGUACUGACGCUGAGACGCGAAAGCGUGGGGAGCAAACAGG
rnacentral:rRNA from 1 species